rnacentral:rRNA from 1 species
GAUGAACGCUAGCGGGAGGCCUAACACAUGCAAGCCGAGCGGUAUUUGUCUUUCGGGACAGAGAGAGCGGCGUACGGGUGCGGAACACGUGUGCAACCUGCCUUUAUCAGGGGGAUAACAUUUCGAAAGGCAGAUUAAUACCCCAUAAUAUAUUUAAUGGCAUCAUUUGAUAUUGAAAACUCCGGUGGAUAGAGAUGGGCACGCGCAAGAUUAGAUAGUUGGUAGGGUAACGGCCUACCAAGUCAGUGAUCUUUAGGGGGCCUGAGAGGGUGAUCCCCCACACUGGUACUGAGACACGGACCAGACUCCUACGGGAGGCAGCAGUGAGGAAUAUUGGACAAUGGGUGAGAGCCUGAUCCAGCCAUCCCGCGUGAAGGACGACGGCCCUAUGGGUUGUAAACUUCUUUUGUAUAGGGAUAAACCUAGAUACGUGUAUCUAGCUGAAGGUACUAUACGAAUAAGCACCGGCUAACUCCGUGCCAGCCGCCGCUGUAA